GGUUCAUCAGGUGUCAUUAAACGUAUGGAAUCUGGAAAAGAAAAGGCUCCAGUCAGUUGUAAGAGAGGCUCAUGAUAGUGUGAUCACAUCACUACAUUUUUUUGCAAAUGAGCCAGUGCUUAUGAGUUCUUCAGCAGAUAAUUCUAUUAAGAUGUGGAUUUUGCAUUUUCUCCCUGCAAGCGUUGUUAGCAUGAUCAACAAAGUAGAGAGCUUUCUCAGCACAAUGUUUCUAGACGAGCCAAGAAACUUAAAGUAAAGGAAGAAGAAAUAAAGUUGAAGCCCGUGAUUGCAUUUGAUUGUGAAUCUGAAUUACAGUGGGGAAUCUAGCCUUAAAGGCAUGUGUAUAAGUAUAUAAAUUGAAAUGUGAGGAAAGUUGGGAUGAUGAAGAAGAAGCAGCAGCAGCAGAAAGAGCAAGUGAAGUGAAUUUUACAGAUGAGAUAAGUGGAAUUAACACAGGAUCUCCUUCACCAACUUCAUCUAAUGAAUCCUCUGUUACAAGUUAAUUAUUAGAGUAGCGAAAAUUGUUCAAAUGAGUUAGGAAAUUGAAUAGGAG